rnacentral:rRNA from 1 species
UGGGGAAUUUUGCACAAUGGGGGAAACCCUGAUGCAGCGACGCCGCGUGAUUUAGAAGGCCUUCGGGUUGUAAAAAUCUUUUCUAUGGGAAGAAAAUGACAGUACCAUAGGAAUAAGGACCGGCUAAUUACGUGCCAGCAGCCGCGGUAAUACGUAAGGUCCGAGCGUUGUCCGGAAUCAUUGGGCGUAAAGGGUACGUAGGCGGGUAGGCAAGUUAGAAGUGAAAUCCUGUAGCUCAACUACAGUAAGCUUUUAAAACUGCUCAUCUUGAGAUAUGGAAGGGAAAGUGGAAUUCCUAGUGUAGCGGUGAAAUGCGCAGAUAUUAGGAGGAAUACCGGUGGCGAAGGCGACUUUCUGGACUUUUACUGACGCUCAGGUACGAAAGCGUGGGGAGCAAACAGG